UCCUCAUUAGCACGAACUCUCUAAGCAAGAGGCAUUUUGGCAGUUCUGUCCUUUGAGGAGAGAAGCCACUGGAUUUUCCUAAUGUGAAAACAUUCUUCUGAAGAGAGAGCACCUGACUCAUGGAAAAUUCAAAACUGGAUUAGGUGACGAACAGGAGAAGCAGAAAGAUUAUGAUCUUAAACAUCAUGAACUUGAAAGUCGAACAGCAUAUCAGAACUGAACUUCCAUCUCAUUAAAGGGAUAGAAUGGAGGGGUAAUUUUGACCUGUAUCCAAGAUUCCAAAGGAAUAAGACUAUUUUAACAUUCAAGCUGCUUCUUUUCCCCAUUGUACUGAAAGGUUGUGGGUCAGUUGCAGUGGACCAGCCAAUACAAUCGCAAAAAAAAAAAAAAAAAAAGUUGUACAGUAAAGAAUUUAGGUUCUGAAUAAUUAAUGUCUCUUGCUCUUUUCCAAGAAUCUUAAUAAUAUGUCCACCAGCAUUAGUGAUUUUGCAUCUUUUCAUAUGGCCAUACUCUAGCUAAUGCCCAAGCAGAUAAUUCA